AACUCUCCAUCAUUUUAGAACAGGAAAUGUAAAAAUAUCAGUAUCAGGGUGUUGCAACAGAGUGGUGUAGGAGUUUUGAAAGUCCUAGAAGAACUGAAGAACUGGCAUAGCAUUACUCAUUGGUGGUUUUUUAUAGUAAUAAAAGCAACCCGAGUUAAAACUCAACAUCAUAUGACUUCUAAAUGUGUAGAACAUACACUGUGUGUAUUAACCACAUUUUUAGAGGAAGUAUAGAAGGUUUUACCCUGUCUGUGAGUAUUCCCUGCCCCCUUAUUACACUAACCUUACA